AAGUAGACAUUAAUUGGAUAAAGUCAUCCUUGAAUAUGCAUUGCUGCGAAUCAACAACUUAAGAGGACUUCCCGUCAGGAGCCAUAUCUGUGAUGGCGUGCACGAAGCGUCCGGAGCUGAAAAGCGACUAGAUCCGUAGAAGUGCCCGAAAUCUGUGCACCACGGCUUCCCGUCACCUGAUGCGAACGCGUCUGGAAAAUGUUUUCGUUCCUACCCGGUUGAUCAAUCCAGCAAAAUAACGGUCGGCAAUGGCAACAUUUCGGGCCCGUGAAUUGAUUUUACGAUGAACACGGUAAAGUUAACCGUGGCGAUAAUCCAGUAAGUUGAUUUGAAUUUGCAAUUGUUUGAUAAGUUCCACCUAUUUGCAACGAGACUUUUUUUUUUUGUUGCUUUUGGUCUAAGCAAUAGGACUUUUAAGUCGUUUAUUUUUCUCAAUGUUUUAAUUGUUUUCCAUUUGGGCGAAAAAAAAGUCAUGCUAACCUUGGUGCCGAUUCGAAUAAUUCAGGAGCAUAUUUCUUUCUGUUCAAAUGGUAAAUUGAGGAUCAAUUAUCACAUUGCUUUUUUACCAAAUUCACGUUUCAACAACUAAUCCAGCACCACGUUCGCAUCAAUGUGAUGUCCCAUGAGUCUGGGCGUUAUUUGACAAGGCUAUAAUAUAGUUAUGAAGUCCGGCCCGGCCCAUUUUCUCCGGACGCUUCUGUGCCGAGCUUUCUAGCAAUGGGAGACCGACGAAGAAGGGUCGCCGGCGCGUGCUUCCGUUUCAGCUUCAAGGUCGAUUCGAUUGUCUUCCGAUUUGGUUUGGUGAGGCUGUUGCUCGAUUUCUUCCGAUCGGCGUUAAGUGAAGAUGGCGUGAGUUGAGUGGAAUCCAGAGAAGGAUUUGCUGGCCAUGGUCCCACGGAGGACUCGGAGGUGGGUGGUGCUUCGUCGCUUCAAUUGGCAAGAGGCUGUGGACAAUCUCUCUCCUGGGGCAUUUCGCCACAUCAUUUUGAUUAAUCAAGGUCGCUGGUGGGAGGUUAACUUUUGAAUAGGAUAUAUCUCGAGCUGUACUGCAUACUUGUAUGACAAUCUGGUUGAGAGGGAAGGAGGAAGGAAUUGGAGAAAGCAAAGGGACUAGGAGGGUAAGGGGAGCUGCAUCCAAUGUAACAUCAUUAUGCUGGCGUCUUGAUGGCAAGGUUGUUGUCUUGGGACUUGAAGACGGUACAGUUUUACUGCAUGAUUUCGAACUGUUAUGCACACUGUGGUAUAAUCAUUCUAACAGGGUAUAAAUAUUAAGCAGAAUGGAAAACUGUUAAGAAGCUUGAAGUCCCAUAUGGCAGCUGUGGUGUCUCAACUGGGAGGAGGAUGCCUAACUGAAUAGAAUCGCACUACUCGAUUCUUCCCUCCAGCUCCAAAAGUUCCUCGCAUGCCUGGACUAGUACCCGGAGAUGCUGGUUUAACGGACGAUGGUCAAGAUUCAUUUGUAGAGCUCUCAAAUUCUUCAAAGUAAUGUUUCAAUAUCCUUUGCAGUGGAGAUAAAUAUGGGAUUUUGUGCUUCAGUAUAUUUGGUGUCUUUCUAAUCAGAAAUAUUGUAAGCGUCCUGUCUGUUCAAAUCAAAUAUUUGGCAGUAUGGUCUAUCAGAUUGAGUC